rnacentral:rRNA from 1 species
UUUCAGCUUGUUGGUGAGGUAAUGGCUCACCAAGGCGACGACGGGUAGCCGGCCUGAGAGGGUGACCGGCCACACUGGGACUGAGACACGGCCCAGACUCCUACGGGAGGCAGCAGUGGGGAAUAUUGCACAAUGGGCGAAAGCCUGAUGCAGCGACGCCGCGUGAGGGAUGACGGCCUUCGGGUUGUAAACCUCUUUCAGUAGGGAAGAAGCGAAAGUGACGGUACCUGCAGAAGAAGCACCGGCUAACUACGUGCCAGCAGCCGCGGUAAUACGUAGGGUGCGAGCGUUAUCCGGAAUUAUUGGGCGUAAAGAGCUCGUAGGCGGUUUGUCGCGUCUGUCGUGAAAGUCCGGGGCUUAACCCCGGAUCUGCGGUGGGUACGGGCAGACUAGAGUGCAGUAGGGGAGACUGGAAUUCCUGGUGUAGCGGUGGAAUGCGCAGAUAUCAGGAGGAACACCGAUGGCGAAGGCAGGUCUCUGGGCUGUAACUGACGCUGAGGAGCGAAAGCAUGGGGAGCGAACAGGAUUAGAUACCCUGGUAGUCCAUGCCGUAAACGUUGGGCACUAGGUGUGGGGACCAUUCCACGGUUUCCGCGCCGCAGCUAACGCAUUAAGUGCCCCGCGGGGGG